rnacentral:lncRNA from 1 species
UGCUCUUUCAGAGCGAGAAGUAUGACGAUUCAUGUUGCUUUGGCCCUAGGGCUGUUGCCUCAAGCUUUAACUUACUCUGAUUUCCCUUUGAGAUUGUUGCUUGGUUCAGAAGUAAACUCUGAUACAUGUGUUUCGACAGCAGAAGGUAAUGCGAGCAUUCUUCCUUUCUGGGCUCGUGGUGGAAGGUGCUUGGUGUGUUUUUUUGAUCCCAUAGUCCAGGGCAAGAAGACCCCUGUACCUCCACGAGGAAGUUUUCUGGGGCUCACUACCACUGGGCGCACAGGUGCUAGCAUGACAACAGGAGCACGAAGGACUCCCCAUUUUGGCAUUGUAUCCAGUGCCUCGUAGCCACUAAGAACUCCAUUUGACAUUGCAUAUGGACCUGGUACUCCUGGUUGCCAUAGAGUCAUGGCACCAGACUGGGGAGUAGUUGGCAGUGACUGACCUUGAUUAAUAUCGGGCCGGACUCGGAAGAAGGUAAUGCUGACCCUCUUGUUUGGAGACGGGCACAUCACAUGCCUUGCCAUGUCAGAACUAUUUCC